rnacentral:rRNA from 1 species
UACGGAGGGUGCGAGCGUUGUCCGGAUUUAUUGGGUUUAAAGGGUGCGUAGGUGGCCCGUUAAGUCCGGGGUGAAAGCCCACUGCUCAACAGUGGAACUGCCCUGGAUACUGGCGGGCUUGAGUCCAGACGAGGUUGGCGGAAUGGAUGGUGUAGCGGUGAAAUGCAUAGAUACCAUCCAGAACCCCGAUUGCGUAGGCAGCUGACUAGGCUGGUACUGACACUGAGGCACGAAAGCGUGGGGAGCGAACAGG